GCCGGCAGCCAUAUCACCCUGUAGCCCAAGACUGGUCACCCACUGAAGCUAAGCAGGGCUGAGCCUGGUCAGUACCUGGAUGAGACCUCCUGGGAAAAUAGGUUGCUGCUGGAA
rnacentral:rRNA from 1 species